GUGCUCACUUCAGCAGCACAUAUACUAAAAUUGGAAUGAUACAGAGGAGAUUAGCAUGGCCCCUGUGCAAGGAUGACACGUGAAGUGAAGCGUUCCAUAUUUUU
rnacentral:snRNA from 1 species